rnacentral:piRNA from 1 species
UGAUUCAUGUGAUCCCCUCCAAGCCCCCCAU